UACGUAGGGGUCUAGCGUUGUCCGGAAUUAUUGGGCGUAAAGAGCUCGUAGGCGGCUUGUCACGUCGGGUGUGAAAGCCCGGGGCUUAACCCCGGGUCUGCAUUCGAUACGGGCAGGCUAGAGUGUGGUAGGGGAGAUCGGAAUUCCUGGUGUAGCGGUGAAAUGCGCAGAUAUCAGGAGGAACACCGGUGGCGAAGGCGGAUCUCUGGGCCAUUACUGACGCUGAGGAGCGAAAGCGUGGGGAGCGAACAGG
rnacentral:rRNA from 1 species